UAGGUUUUCAUCUAAUUCUUUUCAGGUAAUAUUUACAUAUUUAUGAUAUCUUAACAUAAUAAUUAAAUUCGCAAUUAAUAACAAUGUAUUAUGAAUAACGUGCUCAGAAGAGGAGCAAAAUAAAUUCUGACAAUAGAGGAAAGUUAGAAGCGAACCGCGUAGCUGGUUCAAAGUCAUUUGUACGACUUCGUCACGACAUGCAAGAUUCCGUCACUGGCCAAGAGCCCGGACCAAUAGACUUCUACAAAGGGACUCACUGUCGGCAGGCGACAGGAUCUUGGGUACAUCCUAGAGCCAGUGAGAUUUGGGAGGAGAUGAACACCUUACGCAGUCAGCCUACUCCCAAUGGUACUUAGUUGAGUGAACCAGAGAUCCUGAGUCAGGUGCUUGGCACCCGUUCUGGAUAUGUGCGUGGGUUUGGCCAUGGUGCCAAGCUCAUGGCACCCGCUAAAGCUACCUCCAGCCGAUCCAUCGUCGUUGGCGACAGCGCCGUACGCUGAGCUGAUACUGCAGAGAGAGAGGUUCAGCAGCUACGGGUCAUCGUCGAUGACAUCAAAGAUCAGCUGGACAGACAGAGGGAGGAGCA